UACAGAGGGGGCGAGCGUUGUUCGGAAUUACUGGGCGUAAAGGGCGCGUAGGCGGCCCGCUAAGUCGAACGUGAAAUCCCUGGGCUCAACCCAGGAACUGCGUCCGAUACUGGUUGGCUUGAAUCCGGGAGAGGGAUGCGGAAUUCCAGGUGUAGCGGUGAAAUGCGUAGAUAUCUGGAGGAACACCGGUGGCGAAGGCGGCAUCCUGGACCGGCAUUGACGCUGAGGCGCGAAAGCCAGGGGAGCAAACGGG
rnacentral:rRNA from 1 species